rnacentral:lncRNA from 1 species
GUUGCUAACGUUGUGCAUAUGUACCUCAAAUCUUUGCCAAGCAAUCAAUCCGAGCAGUCUACUAACCACCGCUAGGACUGAUUCCAAAAUAUGCACAAGAAGUACAAAGUGUAGUAUGAGUACAACAAAACCCAUGUACUCUGUAAGUACCGAGCCAAACUUCGACAAAAUAGUAACGAGGCUAAGGCGGGUCACUUACAAUAACCUGCACGCAGUAUAAUAAUAAUAAUAGAAAAAAAUAGGAAAUGGCAGCAAAACAGUUAACUAAUGAAGACAACUCAAUACUCGAAAUCAGUGAAACCACAAAUAUCAGUCCUCAGGAUCAAUUAUGAAAAUACUGAAAGCUAACACAAUACAAUAAUGAAUGCAACACACACAAUCCAUUGCGACGCACAACACGAUCCCACCAUACAAACACAAUCCUCCCUUAUUUCACCAUAUCAAUAUAAAGAAUAACAUAUAAAAUCUAUUGUGUUGUGCAGCCCGAUCCCACCAUAUUAAUUAGAAUCAAUAUAACAACACUCCAUUAUAUCAAC